rnacentral:rRNA from 1 species
AUGGCUCAGAUUGAACGCUGGCGGCAGGCCUAACACAUGCAAGUCGAGCGGCAGUGGAAGGAAGCUUGCUUCCUUGCCGGCGAGCGGCGGACGGGUGAGUAAGGUAUGGGGAUCUGGCCGAAGGCGGGGGAUAACCACUGGAAACGGUGGCUAAUACCGCAUAAUCUCUAAGGAGCAAAGUGGGGGACCGUUCAGGCCUCACACCUUCGGAUGAACCCAUAUGAGAUUAGCUAGUAGGUGGGGUAAUGGCUCACCUAGGCGACGAUCUCUAGCUGGUCUGAGAGGAUGAUCAGCCACACUGGGACUGAGACACGGCCCAGACUCCUACGGGAGGCAGCAGUGGGGAAUAUUGCACAAUGGGCGCAAGCCUGAUUCAGCCAUGCCGCGUGUAUGAAGAAGGCCUUCGGGUUGUAAAGUACUUUCAGUCGUGAGGAAGGUGUUAAGGUUAAUAACCUUAGCAAUUGACGUUAGCGACAGAAGAAGCACCGGCUAACUCCGUGCCAGCAGCCGCGGUAAUACGGAGAGUGCGAGCGUUAAUCGGAAUUACUGGGCGUAAAGGGCACGCAGGCGGUUAAUUAAGAUGGAUG